GACUGCGUUUGCCACACCACCUUCUUGCUGCUUCCACAUGCCCCGGGUGAGAAGCUGCCCCCAGAGGUGCUGGAGUACUAUCAGGACCAGAAAAGACUGCAGGAUGAGCAGGCAAAGCGCAAGACUGGGGAACCAGCAGGCCAGGACAACGCAAACUUUGAAGAUGUCCAGUCUCUGUCAGAUCAAGGAAGAAAGCACUCUGCUGGGAUUGUUCACACCAUCUCAUCCCAUAACUCAGUCGUUCCCUCCUCCAUUCUUGAUGAAAGCCAGUCCAGCAAGGUGGACUCUAAAGUUGAAUGUGGAGAGGAGGAGGAGGAGGAAGGCACUGAAGAAAGACAUGGGACAGGAGGGACAGCGAGACCCUGGUGCUGCAAAACAGCACCCCACUGCCCGUGGCCUGGUGGGUCAGUGGGCUGG